rnacentral:rRNA from 1 species
UGGGGAAUAUUGCACAAUGGGCGCAAACCUGAUGCAGCCAUGCCGCGUGUAUGAAGAAGGCCUUCGGGUUGUAAAGUACUUUCAGCGGGGAGGAAGGGAGUAAAGUUAAUACCUUUGCUCAUUGACGUUACCCGCAGAAGAAGCACCGGCUAACUCCGUGCCAGCAGCCGCGGUAAUACGGAGGGUGCAAGCGUUAAUCGGAAUUACUGGGCGUAAAGCGCACGCAGGCGGUUUGUUAAGUCAGAUGUGAAAUCCUCGGGCUCAACCUGGGAACUGCAUCUGAUACUGGCAAGCUUGAGUCUCGUAGAGGGGGGUAGAAUUCCAGGUGUAGCGGUGAAAUGCGUAGAGAUCUGGAGGAAUACCGGUGGCGAAGGCGGCCCCCUGGACGAAGACUGACGCUCAGGUGCGAAAGCGUGGGGAGCAAACAGG